UCACUGCAGCCCUUUCAUAUUACAUUGCAAAGGACAUGAUGCCAUUUCAAAUGGUUGAGAGGCCUGUCUUUCUGUGGCUGAUGGAGGUUGCUGUCCCUCACUACAAUGUGUGGCAUAUCAAGAAGCUGAUUAAACAGCAUGACCAACUGGCCUCACAACCGCAGACCACGUGUAACCACGCCAGCCCAGGACCUCCACAUCCGGCUUCUUCACCUGCAGGAUCGACUGAGACCAGCCACCCAGACAGCUGAUGAAACUGAGGAGUAUUUCUGUCUGUAAUAAAGCCCAUUUGUGGGGGGAAAAUCAUUCUGAUUGGCUGGGCCUAGCUCCCCAGUGGGUGAGGUGAGACUGGCUCCCAAGUGGGUUGGCCUAUGCCUUCCAAGGCCCACCCAUGGCUGCUCCCCUGCCCAGUCAUGUGAAAUCCAUAGAUUAUCGCCUAAUUUAUUUAUUUCAACUGACUGAUUUCCUUAUAUGAACUGUAACUCAGUAAAAUUGUUGAAAUUGUUUCAUGUUGCGUUUAUAUUUUUGUUCAGUAUAAAGCAUAAUUGAGAAAUAAUUCAUUAAAAUGAGCAUAUUUAUGAUAUUUUGGCCUUACCCAUGCCUCAUUUAAGACUCCAUAAUGUUUCAUAUGUAGGUGCUACUGUCACACCCUGGUCUAAGUAUUUUGUGUUUUCUUCAUGUAUUGGGUCAGGCCAGGGUGUGGCAUAGAGUUUUUGUAUUGUGGUGUGUUUUGUCUUGGGAUUUUGGGAAGUGUGUAUAGUGGGAUUGUAGCUUAGUGGGGUGUUCUAGGAGAGUCUAUGGCUGUCUGAAGUGGUUCUCAAUCAGAGGCAGGUGUUUACCGUUGUCUCUGAUUGGGAACCAUAUUUAGGCAGCCAUAUUCUUUGGUUGUAUUGUGGGUGAUUGUCCUGUGUGUCUUGAUGUCCUGGUUAGAGGUUAGUAGACACUUGUAUAGGCUGUUUUCGGUUUGUAGUGUUAGUGUUUUGUUGUGUGUUACGUUUGUUUAUUAAAGAUGAAUCACAAUAGA